AUCCAGCCGAUGAGUCCUAAAUAGGACGAAACGCGAGUCUGGAAU
rnacentral:hammerhead_ribozyme from 1 species